rnacentral:rRNA from 1 species
GAAUGCUGACAUAAGUAACGAUAAAGCGGGUGAAAAGCCCGCUCGCCGGAAGACCAAGGGUUCCUGUCCAACGUUAAUCGGGGCAGGGUGAGUCGACCCCUAAGGCGAGGCCGAAAGGCGUAGUCGAUGGGAAACGGGUUAAUAUUCCCGUACUUGGUGUUACUGCGAAGGGGGGACGGAGAAGGCUAUGUUGGCCGGGCGACGGUUGUCCCGGUUUAAGCGUGUAGGUGUGUGUUCCAGGUAAAUCCGGUUCACUUUAACACUGAGGCGUGAUGACGAGGCACCACGGUGCUGAAGCAACAAAUGCCCUGCUUCCAGGAAAAGCCUCUAAGCCUCAGGUAACAUCAAAUCGUACCCCAAACCGACACAGGUGGUCAGGUAGAG